rnacentral:rRNA from 1 species
UACAGAGGUCUCGAGCGUUAGGCGGAAUCACUGGGCUUAAAGCGUGUGUAGGCGGAUUGCUAAGUACUUUGUGAAAUCCCACAGCUCAACUGUGGAACUGCUUGGUAUACUGGCAAUCUUGAGCAACAUAGGGCUACCGGAACAAAUGGUGGAGCGGUGAAAUGCGUAGAUAUCAUUUGGAACGCCAAUGGUGAAAACAGGUAGCUGGGUGUUUGCUGACGCUGAGACACGAAAGCCAGGGGAGCGAACGGG